rnacentral:rRNA from 1 species
AUGCACGCUGCAUCGGCGGCGGGGGCGAAAAUGAAGGGUCGGCGGCCACCGAGCGUGGUUACGGAGAUCGUGUACGGGAUGAGCCUGGGGCUCCUCGCGGGGUACCUGUGGAAGCUGCACCACUGGAGCAACCAGCGCCACACCCGCGAGUUCUACAGCCUGCUCGACGAGGGCAGGAUCUCCAUCGUAAAUUGUUCAGAAUUGUAG